rnacentral:rRNA from 1 species
AUAUCAAUAAGCGGAGGAAAAGAAACCAACAGGGAUUGCCUCAGUAACGGCGAGUGAAGCGGCAGCAGCUCAAAUUUGAAAUCUGGAGCCUUCGGCUUCCGAGUUGUAAUUUGAAGAGGAUGUUUCGGUGCGACCUGGGCCUAAGUUCCUUGGAACAGGACGUCAUGGAAGGUGAGAAUCCCGUACAUGGCUGCAGGUUUGCUUCUAUGUGAAACUCCUUCGAAGAGUCGAGUUGUUUGGGAAUGCAGCUCAGAAUGGGUGCUAAAUUUCAUCUAAAGUUAAAUAUUGGGGGGAGACCGAUAGCGCACAAGUAUGAGUGAUCGAGAGAUGAAAAGCACUUUGAAAAGAGAGUUAAACAGUACGUGAAAUUGUUGAAAGGGAAGCACUUGCAAUCAGACUCGCCUUCAGUUGAUCAGCCUUCCUUCUGGUUGGUGCAUUCUGCUGUUGGCGGACCAGCAUCAGUAAGGAAAGCGGGACAAAGGUAGCAGGAAUGUGGCUCACCUCGGUGAGUGUAUAUAGCCUGCUGCGCCAUGCCGCCAGCCUCGACUGAGGACCGCGGUUCGCCUAGGAUGCUGGCUUAAUGGUUGUAAGCGA